AAUAAGAUGGCUGAGUGUUAAGCGGUGGAUUGUAGCCCCAUAUACAGGGGUUAAAUUCCCCUUCUUAUUA
rnacentral:tRNA from 1 species